UGUGGAUUAGGAACUAGCUUUGCUAACCAUAAAACAAAUAUUCUAAACUAGGCCUAUAUGUUGAAAGUAUUAUAACCCAAAAUCUAAUUUUUUCAAUUGAAUUUUGUUCUUCAUACUUGUUUUAAGAGUUGAGUCUAAGACUUGAAACUCUAGGUCUAUGGAAACUUGCCUCCAAUUGUGUGACAAUUUUGUACAUUAUUAACUUAAAUGUACUGCUUAAAAUUUAAAUUUUGUACAUUAUUAACUUAAAUGUACUGCUUAAAAUUUAAAUUUUGUACAUUAUUAACUUAAAUGUACUGCUUAAAAUUUAAAGUGUUAUUUUUCAAAUAUUGUGAGUUUAAGAGUUUCACCGAAAAAAAAACCUAAUGUAAGGCCAAUGUGCUUAAUACGCUUGGCUUGGGGCGUGGCUACCUAUCAAGGGGGCUCAAGUUCAAAACCCGACUCAAGCAGAGUAGUGUUUGCAAAAUGCCUAAAAGCAUGAAAAUAUUUCAAGAUUUUUCAUUUUAUAGAAAUAAAAAAAAAAAAUAAAUUUCUUAACAAAAUUGUAUUAUCGAUUUUAUUGUUGUACUUCAUAGAAAUAUAUUAAUAUUUAAUACGGUAUAUCUUGUUUUGUAACUUUAUAGACUUAAAAUGUGAGAGCAAAUAUUGUCAAUUAUUUUAAAAAUAUAACAUUUUAAAAAUCAUAUUAAAAAACAGAACGUCCGUCAUGGCAACCACAAAAGUUACACAGAAUUUCCUGUUUUUUCCACUUAAUCGGGUGUAUCAACUAAUCAGUUUUCAUAUAUUUCUGAUCUAUGUUAAAAAAAAAGAUUUAAGUAAUCCUCCCUAAUAAAUAAUGAAUACUAAAUAAUAAAUAAUGAAUACUGUUUGAAUAUUUUAUUAAGUGAGAGUUUCAUAUAUUUUUGAAAUUACAAAAAACUGGUGGUGUGGUAUGCACCGCUUAACUGUCGUCCUUGUGGUCCCUUGUUUGAACCUUGCACACCAUCCCCCACCCCCCUCCGCGGGAGGUUUGGUCUAGGAUGUAAUAAUCUUCAAUUCUGAAAGAACAUCCGAAACAUUUCAAACAUGCAUAACAAAUUUAAUUGAUAUCUUUUUGUUCAAUGGCUUGUAAAUCAGAUGAUAUUAAAUUGGAUGUUCUUUUUUUUUUUUACAAAGCUUUUAUUAACUCACUCCGUCUGUCUGUCUGGUACAAAUUUUGUACACGCUAUUUCUCCCACUUCACAUUAUCGGAUCAAGUUGAAAGAUCAAAACAUAAAACAAUGCAUACAUCAUUUAACUUCAAAGUAGAAAACAUAAAGUGCUUCAUUUCAAUGGAAGAGGUAGCCUAUACAUAUUUUAAUGAAGUUCUAGGAGCUAGAAAUUUGUGACUAAUUAUCAAAGAUUAGACAUGUCACUUCAAGCUCAGUACAAGAACUGUUUCUUGAAGUCGAUCUGUAUAACUCUUACGGAGGGAGGGAAGCAACUCUGUAACCCCGUCCUCUGCUAAACAUAACUAAACACAAAUCCAGGUAGACACUUGAGACAUAACUAAACACAAAUCCAGGUAGACACUUGAGACAUAACUAAACACAAAUCCAGGUCAACACUUGAGACAUAACUAAACACAAAUCCAGGUAUUCACUUGAGACGAUAUAAGUGAAUGACCUUUGAUUCGUAAGAGCUUUAAAUCAUUAAGUUUCCUAAAUAGUGUUGUUGAUCGAUAUUUAUUUGAUCAAUCUCAAUAACAUUGAUAACGUAGCCUCUCAAUAACAUUGAUAACGUAGCCUCUCAAUAACAUUGAUAACGUAGCCUCUCAAUAACAUUGAUAACGUAGCCUCUCAAUAGCAAUGAAGGAUAAUACCAACUGUGUCUAUAAGGACAAUAAUUAUAAUAGGUCACCGUACAUCUUACAAACUCAUUAAUUUCUCUGAUGGCAAGAUUCCUCGUGCUCCACUCUCUGUAGCACAUUUUUUAGCGGCCCCCGAAAGGGGAAAAGACGCUAUUAGUUUUGUGUGAAAUGUCUGUCCGUAUGUCCGUCCCUAUUAGAUCUCGUAAACUAGAAAAGAUAGUGAAAAUCCGACAUCAUAAUAUUUUAGUCCAUUCAAAGUUCUAUCAUAUUUUUUAACACUUUUAUGCAAAUGGUUUUUAGACUUUUUGUUUAAAAAAUUAUUAUUUUUUUUUACAUUUAUAUUGCUGCGUUAUGUAAGUUCUGACCUACUAACUACUACAUUUAACCAAAAAAAUAUGUUUACUUUUUUUUAAGAGAAAAAAAUCUAUUUAGUAUGCAUAUAAGUUGGACAUAAUUUAAAACAACAAUUAAUAAGUAGGUGUUCAUAUUAUCGCGUGAACCGCAGUCAGAUAUCCCACAAUACAACACUCAACUAUAGGAUUUUUUUUUUUUUACGGAAAUGUUUUAUUUUUUUAUUUUUUUUUAGGAUUUGAAUUAGAGAUUGACCCUUUACAAAACAAUUAGAUCAAUUAGCUAUUCAUUAUAAGACAUCAGUUAGGCUAGGCUCGCAUUUAACUUCACUUUCACCUAUCCUUUGGUCUGCUGGACCACUUGGGCACCACACGAGAUCUAUCAGCCUUCUUUCUCCAUUCUCAUGUCAUUGGUCUUUGAUAUAAUUUAAUUCUGAUGUUCUUUCUGAAAAUAUUGAUACCUGCCUUUUUACCUGCCUGGGUGGACCACUUCGGGGGCCGAUUUUGAGUUUGUGUUUCCACACAAACUGUCUUUGUAACCUUGUUUUUACUAUUCUUCUGAUUGGAUUGCCAACUCUACAUAGUUCAGGAAUCAGGGUGGAACCUGGACACUGGACAGGUAUUUCGAAAACGGCUCUAACGAUUUUCCUAGAAAUUUGACAGUUUAUGUAUAUCUUUGAGGAAAAAAGAAACUACCUUAUUGGCAACGGUGAAAACAAUGGUUUGACUGUUAUACUUAUGUACAAUAUAAUCAUAUUAAAAUUUACUUUUGUCUCAUGACUUGAACACGGCUCAGAGGAACUUCCCGCACUCCACUCAAAUGUUUCUUUGGAUUCAGUCAAGAGUUGAAUUAAUAAAUAGACGUCAUGAACAUUUUGCCUUAUAUAGAAUUCAUUUUCUUAUCUUCUUAUCUUAUGAAAUACAGACGUUGCUUCAAAAUAGAAGAUGAUUACGUCCUGCGCGUGUUCCUAGGUUAAUCUAGUCAUGCAUGCUAACCAAUCAUUGGUCAUUAGUUUUCAUUAGCUAGACCAGGGGUCGGCAACCUUUUGUGUUGAAAGAGCCAAAAAUUACAAUUUACCAAAUUUAAAGUUUUUAAAGAGCCACACAUUUUUUCUUGCCAACAAUAAAUAGUACUAGCUCAAACUAUUUUCUAGUUACAAAAACAAAAAAACGAAUCUAUUAAUUCAUACAUACGUGUUUUCUUACAACAAAUUUGGUUUUGCAAAGUUUGGACACAUUUGGCUCAGAACUUAUUUUUAGUUUCAAACACGACUCUAAAUUUUCGAUUGUUAGUUGGCUUGUUACUUUAGUUUUAAUUAUAUUCAUACAAAAAAAAACAA